AACAAUUCAUAUCCUAUAUCAAAUUUUAACAAUUCAAUAAUUGAAUUUAAAGUUCUUAAUGUAUAUAUUAAGUCUACCAAUUUUUUAAAAAUUUAAAAAUUAUUUAAUAUUUUA
rnacentral:miRNA from 1 species